AGCACAAGUCACUGUAAUCUAACGUAGUGUCUGCAGGACUGCGGGUGAAAUACUUCAGUGUCUUGUAAUAGUAAAGUGUACCCACGCCGGAAUUUGUGUUACAUAUUUCUCUUCUGUCACACAGAGUUGCGGAUUUUUUUAUCUGCUCCCCACGGGUUCACCUCUAAUAUUGUUAUGCUCUGUGUAUUCGUUUUCUGAUUUGACAAGAUGCGCUGAGACUUUACUGAUUAUUUGCUGUUGAUGGAUUUGCGGUAUUCCUGACUUUGCUAUUGUUUGCUCGACUGCUUUGGUUACUGCGAUUAUUUGUUCUCCACGUUAAGGAUUAUAGUUUUGCUAACAUCAAAUGGUCAUUGACUUGUGCUGGAGGUACCAGAGGGAACACUAACAGCUGCAGCGGGAAAGCAUUACCACCAGCAAGCAAGAAAUGGGCAAAUUCCAGUCCAAGCAAGCAAGCAAACGAAGAGAAAACCCUGAAGGAGACAGUUUCGUGGUAAAUGCUUAUAUUGCCCGAAAGGGGCUCGAUGACUCAGAUCGAUGCAGUGGAUCAGAGCACAAACUCCGUGACCGACAACAGGUAAAGUCUUAGUACUGUUUUAUUAACUAGUUAAAC